UUCAUUACUGUCUCUGAGAUACUGUAUAAUUUGACAGGUUUGUGGAGUAAACACUAACAGGUCUUUCUUUUUCAUGCCAUUUGGUCUAAAAAAAAAAUACAUGCAUAUACAUGCAAUAUAUGCAUAAAAUUACUUAAGAUAUAUGUAGCCAUAUUCAAUGAAUGAGCUAAUGACUGGUAUUAAUGCUGAUACAUUAACCUAGCAAAGAUCAUCAGGACAGAAAUAUGGACAUUGUAUGUGUCUGUAAAAAGCUGCAGUAGGAUACAUUUGCCCCUAACCAAUCUUAAAACGUUUUAAGUCUGUCCUACUAACAUGUCUGUGGAGGCAUACGAGGGACUGUGCUGCAUUAUGUUGGCAAGAUUGAGUGACCUACAACAUCAAAUGAGUGAGGUGAAGUCAAAAUAUAGGCAGAUUGUGGUGGAUCCAAGUGUUCUCUCAAUUGAUGAGGAAGAUGGAGAAGCAGUUUGUGAGGAAUUUCCUUACCUCCAUGAUGACAUUGAUUCAUCCGAUGAAGACUGAUGGGACCAAAUGGAAGAACAGUUGGGAGCCUUUGUCCUGCCUUUGAGAUGUUGGAGUUAGCACCAGUUUGGAGUUUGUCAUUGUAAUUUUAAUCAGUGCAAAUAAAAAAGAAUAUCAUUCA